UACGAAGGGUGCAAACGUUGCUCGGAAUUAUUGGGCGUAAAGCGCACGUAGGCGGCUUGGCAAGUCGGAUGUGAAAUCCCUCGGCUCAACCAAGGAAGUGCAUCCGAAACUGCUGAGCUUGAGUUCUUAAGAGGAUCGCGGAAUUCCCGGUGUAGAGGUGAAAUUCGUAGAUAUCGGGAGGAACACCAGUGGCGAAGGCGGCGACCUGGGCCAAUACUGACGCUGAGGUGCGAAAGCGUGGGGAGCAAACAGG
rnacentral:rRNA from 1 species